rnacentral:rRNA from 1 species
CCCACACGGUCAACGUGGUAAGACCCCUUGUAGAAGACAAGGUUGAUAGGCUGGAGGUGGAAGCGCCGUGAGGCGUGCAGCUGACCAGUACUAAUAGGUCGAGGGCUUAUCCU